AGUUACACGUCGCAGCGACUCAGUGUGCCCGGUAUGCGGCAACUACUACAAGUACCGCCGGUCCAUGUACCGCCACCUGCGCAGGUCCGCUCAGUGCCGGGAUGCCGCCGCCGCCCUCGCCUGCUUGCAUCCCGGCCUGGUUGCCGACGACUCUUGACUCCCGACUCCCGUGACAUUUUGGCUCAUUCUGAAGACUGAUUGUGCAAAAACUGGUCCUACACCCAGUUUCAAAUAUUUGUUUGUUAUGUCUCGUUUUAUGUCCAGUCCUAUGUACAGUAAACUUUGAAACUCCUCCUCUUUGGAGCAAUAAAUGUCUUUAAUGUCUAGCAAAUGCCUACAUGGAUCUGAAUUUUAGAUAACAUUUACCUUGUCAAAGUCUGAAAACUUGUAAGUGGUAUGUCGCAGCCGAGUCCCAAAGUUCGGAGUUUCUGAUCCAAGCGUUCGUCUGCACUCUAUGCUCCAAGUCCUACAACUCCAACAAGUCUCUAAUGAGGCACAUCCGUUACGAGUGCAACAGAGAGCCUCUCCAGUUUUGUCCCUUUUGCCCACACCGCACGAAGCUCCGGGAGAACCUCAAGAAACACGUCCGCAACAAGCACCCUUCCGCUGGUCCUAUAUAAUUAGUGCUCGUAACGCUGCGUAUUCUGUUCACAUUCACGGCAUUAUACCGAUGCCCUGUGCUUGGGAAUACUGUGCGUGGUGGCAUUCUGGUCUGCAAUAAAUAUGAAAGCAAACUCCAAA